rnacentral:rRNA from 1 species
CGGCGUGCUUAACACAUGCAAGUCGAGGGUAGCAAUACACUGGCGCAAGGGUGCGUAACGCGUAGAUUAUCUGCCCCAUACACUAACAUAACGCUUGGAAACGGGUGCUAAUAUUAGAUGAGGUGCUUCGGCAUCAAAGUUUCGACGGUAUGGGAUGAGUCUGCGUCUGAUUAGCUAGUUGGUAGUGUAAUGGACUACCAAGGCGACGAUCAGUAGCUGGUCUGAGAGGACGAUCAGCCACACUGGAACUGAGACACGGUCCAGACUCCUACGGGAGGCAGCAGUGAGGAAUUUUGCGCAAUGGACGAAAGUCUGACGCAGCGACGCCGCGUGUGGGAUGAAGGGGCUACGCCCUGUAAACCACUGUUAGAUGUGAAAAAAAGAUGGCUUUGCCGUCCGGGAUUGUAACAUCAAAGAAAGGACCGGCUAACUACGUGCCAGCAGCCGCGGUAAUACGUAGGGUCCGAGCGUUGUCCGGAAUUACUGGGUAUAAAGGGUGCGUAGGCGGGCUUUUACGUCAAGGGUUAAAGACUUCAGCUCAACUGAGGGAGUGCCUUUGAAACGGAAAGUCUUGAAUGUAAGAGAGGUAGGUAGAAUUCCUGGUGUAGCGGUGAAAUGCGUAGAUAUCAGGAGGAAUACCAGUGGCGAAGGCGGCCUACUGGCUUAUUAUUGACGCUGAGGCACGAAAGCGUGGGUAGCGAACAGGAUUAGAUACCCUGGUAGUCCACGCCCUAAACGAUGUAUGCUUGGUGUUAGAGUUUACUCUAGUGCCGUAGGAAAUCCGUUAAGCAUACCUCCUGGGGAGUACGAUCGCAAGGUUGAAACUCAAAGGAAUUGACGGGGGCCCGCACAAGCGGUGGAUCAUGUGGUUUAAUUCGAUGCAACGCGAAGAACCUUACCCGGGCUUGAACUAUACUUGACAGAUGCCGAAAGGUAUCCUCCUUCGGGCAAGUGUAGAGGUGCUGCAUGGCUGUCGUCAGCUCGUGCCGUGAGGUGUUGGGUUAAGUCCCGCAACGAGCGCAACCCCUAUCUUUAGUUGUUAGCAGUUCGGCUGAGCACUCUAGAGAGACUGCCCACGCAAGUGGUGAGGAAGGUGGGGACGACGUCAAGUCAUCAUGGCCCUUAUGUCCGGGGCUACACACGUGAUACAAUGGAUGAGACAGAGGGCGAAACCGCGAGGUCAAGGAAAUCCCUAAACUCAUUGUCAGUUCGGAUUGAAGUCUGCAACUCGACUUCAUGAAGGUGGAAUCGCUAGUAAUCGCAGAUCAGCACGCUGCGGUGAAUACGUUCCCGGGCCUUGUACACACCGCCCGUCAAGCGAUGGAAGCUGGGGGCGCCCGAAGACG